rfam:Salmo salar isolate Sally breed double haploid chromosome ssa09, whole genome shotgun sequence.
UGCACUCACUACUGUAAGUCGCUCUGGAUAAGAGCAUCUGCUAAAUGACUAAAU